ensembl:snoRNA U3 Small nucleolar RNA U3
GUUUCAACACUUGAGCUGAGGGGAUCAUUUCUAUAGUCUUUGACUUAUGUUGAAUCGGGGUCCAUGUCGGUUACUCUAACCACGAUGAAGAGAACUGAUGUUCCCUUCUGACGAAGCGGGCAGUGAGUGAUGAUGCAUUUCAUCCGCUCCAGGUCGUUGAUGACCGUUCCAUGCUCUCUAGUGGAGUAGUGAGGUAGGGAUCAUGAUCAGAGUGGU